rnacentral:rRNA from 1 species
UACGGAGUUACAAAGGACGACAUUAGACGAAUCAUCUGGAAAGAUGAAUCAAAGAAGGUAAUAAUCCUGUAGUCGAAAAUGUUGUCUCUCUUGAGUGGAUCCUGAGUACGACGGAGCACGUGAAAUUCCGUCGGAAUCUGGGAGGACCAUCUCCUAAGGCUAAAUACUCUCUAGUGACCGAUAGUGAACCAGUACCGUGAGGGAAAGGUGAAAAGCACCCCGGAAGGGGAGUGAAAUAGAACCUGAAACCGUGUGCUUACAAGUAGUCAGAGCCCGUUAAUGGGUGAUGGCGUGCCUUUUGUAGAAUGAACCGGCGAGUUACGAUUUGAUGCAAGGUUAAGCAGUAAAUGUGGAGCCGUAGCGAAAGCGAGUCUGAAUAGGGCGUUUAGUAUUUGGUCGUAGACCCGAAACCAGGUGAUCUACCCUUGGUCAGGUUGAAGUUCAGGUAACACUGAAUGGAGGACCGAACCGACUUACGUUGAAAAGUGAGCGGAUGAACUGAGGGUAGCGGAGAAAUUCCAAUCGAACCUGGAGAUAGCUGGUUCUCUCCGAAAUAGCUUUAGGGCUAGCCUCAAGUGAUGAUUAUUGGAGGUAGAGCACUGUUUGGACGAGGGGCCCCUCUCGGGUUACCGAAUUCAGACAAACUCCGAAUGCCAAUUAAUUUAACUUGGGAGUC